UACAGAGGUGGCAAGCGUUAUCCGGAUUUAUUGGGCGUAAAGAGCGUGUAGGCGGCCAAGUAGGUCCGGUGUGAAAACUCGAGGCUUAACCUCGAGAUGUCAUCGGAAACCAUUUGGCUAGAGUCCGGAAGAGGAAAGUGGAAUUCCGGGUGUAGUGGUGAAAUGCGUAGAGAUCCGGAGGAACACCAGUGGCGAAGGCGGCUCUCUGGGCUCUACCUGACGCUGAGACGCGAAAGCGUGGGGAGCGAACCGG
rnacentral:rRNA from 1 species